AAAGAAACCAACCGGGAUUGCCUCAGUAACGGCGAGUGAAGCGGCAAGAGCUCAAAUUUGAAAUCUGGCCCCUCCGGGGUCCGAGUUGUAAUUUGUAGAGGAUGCUUCGGGUGCGGCCCCCGUCUAAGUGCUCUGGAAAGGGCCAUCGGAGAGGGUGAGAAUCCCGUCUGGGACGGGGUGUCCGCGUCCAUGUGAAGCUCCUUCGACGAGUCGAGUUGUUUGGGAAUGCAGCUCUAAAUGGGUGGUAAAUUUCAUCUAAAGCUAAAUACUGGCCGGAGACCGAUAGCGCACAAGUAGAGUGAUCGAAAGAUGAAAAGCACUUUGAAAAGAGAGUUAAACAGCACGUGAAAUUGUUGAAAGGGAAGCGCUUACGACCAGACUCGCUCCCGGGGUUCAGCUGGCUUUCGGGCCAGUGUACUUCCCCGGGGGCGGGCCAGCGUCGGUUUGGGCGGCCGGUCAAAGGCCCUCGGAAUGUAACGCCUCUCGGGGCGCCUUAUAGCCGGGGGUGUCAUGCGGCCAGCCUGGACCGAGGAACGCGCUUCGGCACGGACGCUGGCAUAAUGGUCGUAAACGAC
rnacentral:rRNA from 1 species